GGGCGAAUGGUCUAGGGGUAUGAUACUCCCUUCGCAUUAUCUGAUCUUCAUCAGUACAGUGUCUGGGAGGGGUCCGGGGUUCAAUUCCCCGUUCGUCCA